AGCGUACACGGUGGAUGCCCUGGCAGUCAGAGGCGAUGAAGGACGUGCUAAUCUGCGAUAAGCGUCGGUAAGGUGAUAUGAACCGUUAUAACCGGCGAUUUCCGAAUGGGGAAACCCAGUGUGUUUCGACACACUAUCAUUAACUGAAUCCAUAGGUUAAUGAGGCGAACCGGGGGAACUGAAACAUCUAAGUACCCCGAGGAAAAGAAAUCAACCGAGAUUCCCCCAGUAGCGGCGAGCGAACGGGGAGGAGCCCAGAGCCUGAAUCAGUGUGUGUGUUAGUGGAAGCGUCUGGAAAGGCGCGCGAUACAGGGUGACAGCCCCGUACACAAAAAUGCACAUACUGUGAGCUCGAUGAGUAGGGCGGGACACGUGGUAUCCUGUCUGAAUAUGGGGGGACCAUCCUCCAAGGCUAAAUACUCCUGACUGACCGAUAGUGAACCAGUACCGUGAGGGAAAGGCGAAAAGAACCCCGGCGAGGGGAGUGAAAAAGAACCUGAAACCGUGUACGUACAAGCAGUGGGAGCCUCUUUUAUGGGGUGACUGCGUACCUUUUGUAUAAUGGGUCAGCGACUUAUAUUCUGUAGCAAGGUUAACCGAAUAGGGGAGCCGAAGGGAAACCGAGUCUUAACUGGGCGUUAAGUUGCAGGGUAUAGACCCGAAACCCGGUGAUCUAGCCAUGGGCAGGUUGAAGGUUGGGUAACACUAACUGGAGGACCGAACCGACUAAUGUUGAAAAAUUAGCGGAUGACUUGUGGCUGGGGGUGAAAGGCCAAUCAAACCGGGAGAUAGCUGGUUCUCCCCGAAAGCUAUUUAGGUAGCGCCUCGUGAAUUCAUCUCCGGGGGUAGAGCACUGUUUCGGCAAGGGGGUCAUCCCGACUUACCAACCCGAUGCAAACUGCGAAUACCGGAGAAUGUUAUCACGGGAGACACACGGCGGGUGCUAACGUCCGUCGUGAAGAGGGAAACAACCCAGACCGCCAGCUAAGGUCCCAAAGUCAUGGUUAAGUGGGAAACGAUGUGGGAAGGCCCAGACAGCCAGGAUGUUGGCUUAGAAGCAGCCAUCAUUUAAAGAAAGCGUAAUAGCUCACUGGUCGAGUCGGCCUGCGCGGAAGAUGUAACGGGGCUAAACCAUGCACCGAAGCUGCGGCAGCGACACUAUGUGUUGUUGGGUAGGGGAGCGUUCUGUAAGCCUGUGAAGGUGUGCUGUGAGGCAUGCUGGAGGUAUCAGAAGUGCGAAUGCUGACAUAAGUAACGAUAAAGCGGGUGAAAAGCCCGCUCGCCGGAAGACCAAGGGUUCCUGUCCAACGUUAAUCGGGGCAGGGUGAGUCGACCCCUAAGGCGAGGCCGAAAGGCGUAGUCGAUGGGAAACAGGUUAAUAUUCCUGUACUUGGUGUUACUGCGAAGGGGGGACGGAGAAGGCUAUGUUGGCCGGGCGACGGUUGUCCCGGUUUAAGCGUGUAGGCUGGUUUUCCAGGCAAAUCCGGAAAAUCAAGGCUGAGGCGUGAUGACGAGGCACUACGGUGCUGAAGCAACAAAUGCCCUGCUUCCAGGAAAAGCCUCUAAGCAUCAGGUAACAUCAAAUCGUACCCCAAACCGACACAGGUGGUCAGGUAGAGAAUACCAAGGCGCUUGAGAGAACUCGGGUGAAGGAACUAGGCAAAAUGGUGCCGUAACUUCGGGAGAAGGCACGCUGAUAUGUAGGUGAAGUCCCUCGCGGAUGGAGCUGAAAUCAGUCGAAGAUACCAGCUGGCUGCAACUGUUUAUUAAAAACACAGCACUGUGCAAACACGAAAGUGGACGUAUACGGUGUGACGCCUGCCCGGUGCCGGAAGGUUAAUUGAUGGGGUCAGCGCAAGCGAAGCUCUUGAUCGAAGCCCCGGUAAACGGCGGCCGUAACUAUAACGGUCCUAAGGUAGCGAAAUUCCUUGUCGGGUAAGUUCCGACCUGCACGAAUGGCGUAAUGAUGGCCAGGCUGUCUCCACCCGAGACUCAGUGAAAUUGAACUCGCUGUGAAGAUGCAGUGUACCCGCGGCAAGACGGAAAGACCCCGUGAACCUUUACUAUAGCUUGACACUGAACAUUGAGCCUUGAUGUGUAGGAUAGGUGGGAGGCUUAGAAGUGUGGACGCCAGUCUGCAUGGAGCCGACCUUGAAAUACCACCCUUUAAUGUUUGAUGUUCUAACGUUGACCCGUGAUCCGGGUUGCGGACAGUGUCUGGUGGGUAGUUUGACUGGGGCGGUCUCCUCCUAAAGAGUAACGGAGGAGCACGAAGGUUGGCUAAUCCUGGUCGGACAUCAGGAGGUUAGUGCAAUGGCAUAAGCCAGCUUGACUGCGAGCGUGACGGCGCGAGCAGGUGCGAAAGCAGGUCAUAGUGAUCCGGUGGUUCUGAAUGGAAGGGCCAUCGCUCAACGGAUAAAAGGUACUCCGGGGAUAACAGGCUGAUACCGCCCAAGAGUUCAUAUCGACGGCGGUGUUUGGCACCUCGAUGUCGGCUCAUCACAUCCUGGGGCUGAAGUAGGUCCCAAGGGUAUGGCUGUUCGCCAUUUAAAGUGGUACGCGAGCUGGGUUUAGAACGUCGUGAGACAGUUCGGUCCCUAUCUGCCGUGGGCGCUGGAGAACUGAGGGGGGCUGCUCCUAGUACGAGAGGACCGGAGUGGACGCAUCACUGGUGUUCGGGUUGUCAUGCCAAUGGCACUGCCCGGUAGCUAAAUGCGGAAGAGAUAAGUGCUGAAAGCAUCUAAGCACGAAACUUGCCCCGAGAUGAGUUCUCCCUGACUCCUUGA
rnacentral:rRNA from 1 species